UACAGAGGCCUCGAGCGUUGUUCGGAAUUACUGGGCGUAAAGGGAAUGUAGGUGGUGAUGUAAGUCAGAUGUGAAAGCCCUGGGCUUAACCCGGGAAGUGCAUUUGUGACUGCAUCGCUGGAGUGCGGCAGAGGGGGAUGGAAUUCCGCGUGUAGCAGUGAAAUGCGUGGAUAUGCGGAGGAACACCGAUGGCGAAGGCAAUCCCCUGGGCCUGCACUGACGCUCAUGCACGAAAGCGUGGGGAGCAAACAGG
rnacentral:rRNA from 1 species